rnacentral:rRNA from 1 species
UACGUAGGUGGCAAGCGUUUGUCCGGAUUUAUUGGGUUUAAAGGGUGCGUAGGCGGUUGUAUAAGUCAGUGCUGAAAUAUCCCAGCUUAACUGGGAGGGUGGCAUUGAUACUGUAUGACUUGAGUAGAGUUGAGGUUGGCGGAAUUGACGGUGUAGCGGUGAAAUGCUUAGAUAUCGUCAAGAACACCGAUAGUGAAGACAGCUAACUAAGCUCUAACUGACGCUGAGGCACGAAAAGUGUGGGGAUCAAACAGG